rnacentral:rRNA from 1 species
AGAGUUUGAUCCUGGCUCAGGAUGAACGCUGGCGGCGUGCUUAACACAUGCAAGUCGAGCGAAGCACUUGUGUUGAUUUCUUCGGAUUGAUUCACUUGUGACUUAGCGGCGGACGGGUGAGUAACGCGUGGGCAACCUGCCCUGUACAGGGGGACAACAGUUAGAAAUGACUGCUAAUACCGCAUAAGCGCACAGCAUCGCAUGAUGCAGUGUGAAAAACUCCGGUGGUACAGGAUGGACCCGCGUUGGAUUAGCUUGUUGGUGGGGUAACGGCCUACCAAGGCGACGAUCCAUAGCCGGCCUGAGAGGGCGACCGGCCACAUUGGGACUGAGACACGGCCCAAACUCCUACGGGAGGCAGCAGUGGGGAAUAUUGCACAAUGGGGGAAAUCCUGAUGCAGCGACGCCGCGUGAACGAUGAAGUAUAUCGGUAUGUAAAGUUCUAUCAGCAGGGAAGAAAAUGACGGUACCUGACUAAGAAGCCCCGGCUAACUACGUGCCAGCAGCCGCGGUAAUACGUAGGGGGCAAGCGUUAUCCGGAUUUACUGGGUGUAAAGGGAGCGUAGACGGUAUGACAAGUCUGAAGUGAAAGGCAUGGGCUUAACCUGUGGACUGCUUUGGAAACUGUCACACUAGAGUACCGGAGGGGUAAGCGGAAUUCCUGGUGUAGCGGUGAAGUGCGUAGAUAUUAGGAGGAACACCGGUGGCGAAGGCGGCUUACUGGACGGAAACUGACGUUAAGGCUCGAAAGCGUGGGGAGCAAACAGGAUUAGAUACCCUGGUAGUCCACGCCGUAAACGA